rnacentral:rRNA from 1 species
CUUGCUAAGUUUGAUGGCGACCGGCGCACGGGUGAGUAACACGUAUCCAACCUGCCGAUAACUCGGGGAUAGCCUUUCGAAAGAAAGAUUAAUAUCCGAUAGUAUAUUAAAACCGCAUGGUUUUACUAUUAAAGAAUUUCGGUUAUCGAUGGGGAUGCGUUCCAUUAGUUUGUUGGCGGGGUAACGGCCCACCUAGUCUUCGAUGGAUAGGGGUUCUGAGAGGAAGGUCCCCCACAUUGGAACUGAGACACGGUCCAA